UUACGGGAGGCAGCAGUAAGGGAUAUUGCGCAAUGGGCGAAAGCCUGACGCAGCAACGCCGCGUGGAGGAUGACGGCCUUCGGGUUGUAAACUCCUUUUGACCCGGACGAGGAAGGACGGUACGGGUCGAAGAAGUCACGGCUAACUACGUGCCAGCAGCCGCGGUAAAACGUAGGUGGCGAGCGUUAUCCGGAUUUACUGGGCGUAAAGCGUGUGCAGGUGGUGGUUCAAGUGGUGUAUGAAAUCGCUCGGCUUAACCGGGCGGGGUUAUGCCAGACUGAGCCACUGGAGUACGGGAGAGGGGCGUGGAAUUCCGGGUGUAGUGGUGAAAUGCGUAGAGAUCCGGAGGAACCCCAGCGGCGAAGGCGGCGCCCUGGCCCGAUACUGACACUCAGACACGACAGCAUGGGGAGCGAACGGGAUUAGAUACCCGUGUAGUCCG
rnacentral:rRNA from 1 species